AGGUUUAGGGAGCCAGAAAUCUGGGGCUGAAAGACAAGAGCAAAAGAUCAGAGGGCAUGUGGGGAGGGGCAGGACAGAGCCUGGGAAGAUGGGUGAAGGCUUGUUUCUCAAGCAGUCGUCCUUCCCUCCCCCUUUCAAGAAGGUGGCCGUGCUCUCUUGUACCUGUGGCUUGAGGGAUUCUUUUGGAACGGGGAGCCCCUGAGAGCAGAAGGUGCCUGAAACCAGUGGCUCAUCCAGUCUUUAAUGAAAGCCCAAGUCCAUUGAAGUGAUGGGUGAUGCUGAGUGUUGCAGGAGAGGUGCAGAUGCCGUCCAUCUUUGUGAAGCUGGGCUUUCAGCAGCUGCUGUGAUUAAAAAAAACCAAUACUGUAGGAAAAUCAAUAUGGAAUAGGAGGUGAGGCAAUGUCCACUCUAAUUCCAAGUUUGGAAGGGUUGGCAGUGCCCAGCAGAUGCACAUGUUCCAUUGGUAAGUGACGGUGGUUAGAAUGAAAUAAAAAUACUAUUUUUCUUUCAGUUUGUG
rnacentral:lncRNA from 1 species